UACAGAGGGGGCAAGCGUUAUUCGGAAUUAUUGGGCGUAAAGGGCGCGUAGGCGGCCUUGUAAGUCUUGGGUGAAAUCCCUCAGCUCAACUGAGGAACUGCCUCGGAAACUGCAAGGCUUGAGGCCGGGAGAGGGUAGUGGAAUUCCCAGUGUAGCGGUGAAAUGCGUAGAUAUUGGGAGGAACACCGGUGGCGAAGGCGGCUACCUGGACCGGUUCUGACGCUGAUGCGCGAAAGCGUGGGUAGCAAACAGG
rnacentral:rRNA from 1 species